ACGAACGCUGGCGGCGUGCCUAAUACAUGCAAGUAGAACGCUGAAGCUUGGUGCUUGCACCGAGCGGAUGAGUUGCGAACGGGUGAGUAACGCGUAGGUAACCUGCCUGGUAGCGGGGGAUAACUAUUGGAAACGAUAGCUAAUACCGCAUAAGAGUAGAUGUUGCAUGACAUUUGCUUAAAAGGUGCAAUUGCAUCACUACCAGAUGGACCUGCGUUGUAUUAGCUAGUUGGUGAGGUAACGGCUCACCAAGGCAACGAUACAUAGCCGACCUGAGAGGGUGAUCGGCCACACUGGGACUGAGACACGGCCCAGACUCCUACGGGAGGCAGCAGUAGGGAAUCUUCGGCAAUGGACGGAAGUCUGACCGAGCAACGCCGCGUGAGUGAAGAAGGUUUUCGGAUCGUAAAGCUCUGUUGUAAGAGAAGAACGAGUGUGAGAGUGGAAAGUUCACACUGUGACGGUAUCUUACCAGAAAGAGACGGCUAACUACGUG
rnacentral:rRNA from 1 species